GAUUAAAUGGCUGAAUAUAGGCAAUAAAUUGUAAAUUUAUUUAUGAGAAAUUUCUCUUUAAUCA
rnacentral:tRNA from 1 species